CACGGGGGGAGCAAGCGUUGUUCGGAUUCAUUGGGCGUAAAGGGUGCGUAGGCGGCGGGGCAAGUCAGGUGUGAAAUCUCGGGGCUUAACCCCGAAACUGCACUUGAUACUGCCUUGCUCGAGUACUGGAGAGGAGACUGGAAUUUACGGUGUAGCAGUGAAAUGCGUAGAUAUCGUAAGGAAGACCAGUGGCGAAGGCGAGUCUCUGGACAGUUCCUGACGCUGAGGCACGAAGGUCAGGGGAGCAAACGGG
rnacentral:rRNA from 1 species